GCCGGCAUGGUGUAGUGGUUUGAGCAUUGGAUUAUGACUCUGGAGUCCAGGGUUCAAAUCCCUGCUCAGCCA